rnacentral:lncRNA from 1 species
UUUCGCUUUUUCAUUUAUUUUGCUUUACAUUUUAUUUUUUUCCUUUCUCCUUUUUCUAUUUCUUUCUUUUUAUUUACUUUUCUAUUUGUUUUUCAUUUUAUUUUAUUUCCAUUAGCAGUAGCGCUCUUCGUAGGAAACGCGCUACUACUUAUGCCCUAGCGGUGGCGCGCUUCUUCCAAGCCCGCUACUGCUAUGGGUAGCCUAGCGUUCUAGCAAUGAGAAUAUUAGUAGUAGCACUUUUACGACCACACGCGCUACUGCUAUCUAGCACUAGCGCCCUUUUUUGACCCGCGCUGCUGCUAAAUUUCAGUGUAUAAGGUUUUCCCUAGUAGUAGUGUCUCUUUGAAGUAGGGUUGCUCAUGUAAAGGUUCUCUCAACCGGUUUUGUGAAAAUCUCAGAAGCUUCCCAUUGGGUUUUUUCCUCUUCUGGUUUUUUGUCAGGGUUUUUACUCGUAUAUUUUUUAUUUUCCUGUUUCCAUUUUCAUUUUCAUUUUUGAAAUUCAUUUACAUUUUGAAAUUUACAUUUUUAAAUUCAUGAACAUAUUUCCAAGUUCAUGAACAUUUUUUCAAAGAAUAAAUAUAUUAAAAUUUAUAUUUUCUAAAAUUUGUGAACUUUUCUCUUCCUUAACCUUUCCAAUUCAUAUUUUGUUUCAAAUUUGUGAACAUUUUUUAAUUCAUGAACUUUUUCAAAUUUUCAAAAUUUUAAAAGUACUGAAGUUUUUUCAAAUUCACGAACUUAUUUAAAUCCAUGAACAUUUAUUCGAAGUACAAAUAUGCAAUCUAUAAAGAACCAGUGAUUCUUUUUUUUUCUUCUAAACCAGUAGCUGCUGGUUUUUGCUGAAAUUGCAGCGAGCGAGCCGGGCCAUCGGCCCAGCUGUGCGCGCGCCGAAGGCCCUAACGAGGACCUCCCUUAGAUUGAUGUAAAAAAAGAUUGAUGUCAAAAAAAGAAAAAAAAGUCUGAAAAAAGAUAGAAAAAGGAGCUCCCUUCUAAACAUCGCUCCAGCAACCCGUCAAAAAGAAAAACAUCGCUUCAGCAUAUUACACAUCUACUCAUGGGUGCAAGACUGUUGCAUCCCGCUGGCCACUGGCCGCUGCCUGAGCAUUUCCGCAGCGCCGCCGCCCCUCCCCACCCCUGCGGCCCCGCCUGCUGGCUGCUCCGCGCAUUCCCCUCCGCCCCUCGGCCCCGGCGGUCAGGUGCUCUCCCGAUCUCCGCGGCCGCCAUGCUGCCGGCUCCUGCCUCCGUUGCGCCGCCCAAGUCGAGGAGCGCCGACACCGAUUCGCCGCCCAAGUCAAGGAAACUAUUGGAUACACCUUCUAUCACAGAUCCGAAAGGCAAGACUUUUGUUGCUAAAUUCGGAAACUUUCUGGAGAAGGAGUUUCUCUCGAAAGAAGUGAGUGGGAGGAAAGUAGAACUUGACGAGGUAACUGUACCUGCUCCCUUACUGGAAAGUAGUUCAUCACAGAAAACUGUUUCAGUGACAUCUACACCAGUCAGUGAGGAAGCCAAUGAUAAUGAUCAUGAAACUUCAGAUCAAGAUACUACUGAACUUCGUAGAUCAACCAGAGUAAGAUCCGCACCAGAGUGGUACGGUAAUCCUGUUCUGGAGGUCAUGCUACUAGAUCAUGAUGAACCUACGAACUAUGAAGAAGCGAUGGUGAGCCCAGAUUCCGCAAAGUGGCUAGAAGCCAUGAAAUCUGAGAUAUGAUCCAUGUAUGAGAACAAAGUGUAGACUUUGAUUGACUUGCCCGAUGAUCGGUGAGUCAUUAAGAAUAAAUGGAUCUUCAAGAGGAAGACAGACGUUGAUAGAAGUGUUACUAUCUACAAAGCUAGACUUGUCGAAAAAGGUUUUUGACAAAGUUCAAGGUGUUGAAUACGAUGAGAUUUUCUUGCUCGUAUCGAUGCUUAAAAGUCUGUCCGAAUCAUGUUAGCAAUUGCCGCAUUUUAUGAAAUCUGGCAAAUGGAUAAACAAAACUGCAUUCCUUAAUGGAUUUAUUAAAAGAAAAGUUGUAUAUGAUGCAACCAGAAGGUUUUGUCAAUCCAAAGGGAGCUAACAAAGUGUGCAAGCUCCAGCGAUCCAUUUAUGGACUGGUGUAAGCCUCUCAGAGUUGGAAUAAACGUUUUGAUAGUGUGAUCAAAGCAUUUGGUUUUAUACAGACUUUUGGAGAAGCCUGUAUUUACAAGAAAGUGAGUGGGAGCUCUGUAGCAUUUCUGAUAUUAUAUGUGGAUGACAUAUUAUUGAUUGGAAAUGAUAUAGAAUUUCUGGAUAGCAUAAAGGGAUACUUGAAUAAAAGUUUUUCAAGAAAAGACCUCAGUAAAAGCUACUUAUAUAUUGAGAAUCAAGAUCUAUAUAGAUAGAUGAAGACGCUUGAUAAGAUUUUUUCAAUGAAUACAUACCUUGAUAAAUUUUUGAAAUAGUUCAAAAUGGAACAAUCAAAGAAGGAGUUCUUGCCUGUGUUGCAAGGUGUUAAGUUGAGUAAGACUCAAAGCCCGACCACGGCAGAAAAUAGAAAGAGAAUGAAAGUCAUUCCCUAUGCCUCAGUCAUAGGUUCUAUAAAGUAUGCCAUGCUGUAUACCAGAUCUAUUGUAUGCCAUACUACUGAGUUUGGCAAGGGAGUACAAUAGUGAUCUAGGAGUAGAUCACUGGAGAGCGGUCAAAAUUGUCCUUAGUGGAAUAAGGAUAUGUUUCUCGAUUAUGGAAAAAGGUUCGUCGUAAAAGGGUACGCCGAUGCAAGUUUGACACUAAUCUAGAUGACUCUAAGUCUUGAUCUAGAUACAUAUUGAAAGUGGGAGCAAUUAGCUAGAGUAGCUCCGUGCAGAGCAUUGUAGACAUAGAAUUCGCAAAAUACUUACGGAUCUGUAUAUGACAUACCCGUUGACUAAGAUUCUCUCACGAGCAAAACAUGAUCACACCUUAGUACUCUUUGGGUGUUAAUCACAUAGCGAUGUGAACUAUGGGUGUUAAUCACAUGGUGAUAUGAACUAUUGCUGUUAAAUCACAUGGCGAUGUGAACUAGAUUAUUGACUCUAGUGCAAGUGGGAGACUGAAGGAAAUAUGCCCUAGAGGCAAUAAUAAAGUUAUUAUUUAUUUCCUUAUAAUCAUGAUAAAUGUUUAUUAUUCAUGCUAGAAUUGUAUUUUCCGGAAACAUAAUACAUGUGUGAAUACAUAGACAAACAGAGUGUCACUAGUAUGCCUCUACUUGACUAGCUCGUUAAUCAAAGAUGGUUAUGUUUCCUAACCAUGAACAAUGAGUUGUUAUUUGAUUAACGAGGUCACAUCAUUAGUAGAAUGAUCUGAUUGACAUGACCCAUUCCAUUAGCUUAGCACCUGAUCGUUUAGUAUGUUGCUAUUGCUUUCUUCAUGACUUAUACAUGUUCCUACGACUAUGAGAUUAUGCAACUCCCGUUUACCGGAGGAACACUUUGGGUACUACCAAACGUCACAACGUAAAUGGGUGAUUAUAAAGGAGUACUACAGGUGUCUCCAAUGGUUGAUGUUGGGUUGGCGUAUUUCGAGAUUAGGAUUUGUCACUCCGAUUGUCGGAGAGGUAUCUCUGGGCCCUCUCGGUAAUGCACAUCACAUAAGCCUUGCAAGCACUGCAACUAAUAUGUUAGUUGUGAGAUGAUGUAUUACGGAACGAGUAAAGAGACUUGCCGGUAACGAGAUUGAACUAGGUAUUGGAUACCGACGAUCAAAUCUCGGGCAAGUAACAUACCGAUGACAAAGGGAACAACGUAUGUUGUUAUGCGGUCUGACCGAUAAAGAUCUUCGUAGAAUAUGUAGGAGCCAAUAUGGGCAUCCAGGUCCCGCUAUUGGUUAUUGACCGGAGACAUGUCUCGGUCAUGUCUACAUUGUUCUCGAACCCGUAGGGUCCGCACGCUUAAGGUUACGAUGACAGUUAUAUUAUGAGUUUAUGCAUUUUGAUGUACCGAAGGAGAUCGGAGUCCCGGAUGAGAUCGGGGACAUGACGAGGAGUCUCGAAAUGGUCGAGACGUAAAGAUCGAUAUAUUGGACGACUAUAUUCGGACAUCGGAAAGGUUCCGAGUGAUUCGGGUAUUUUUCGGAGUACCGGGUAGUUACGGGAGAAGUAAUGGGCCUUGAUGGGCUUUAGUGGGAAGAGGAAAAAGGCUGCUGCGCCCCCCCUCCCCUUUGGUCCGAAUUGGACUAGGGAAAAGGGGGCCGGCCACCUCUCCUUCUCCGCCUAUUCCUUCUCCCUUCCUCCCCUCUUGGUGGACUCCUACUAGGACUUGGAGUCCUAGUAGGACUCCCUAUCCUGGCCGCACCUUUGCCUUGGCCGGCCUCCUCCUCCUCCAUCCUUUAUAUACGGAGGCAGGGGCACCUCUAAACACACAAGUUGACACAAGUUGAUCCACGUGAUCGAUUCCUUAGCCGUGUGCGGUGCCCCCUGCCACCAUAUUCCUCGAUAAUACUGUAGCGGAGUUUAGGCGAAGCCCUGCUGCUGUAGUUCAUCAAGAUCGUCACCACGCCGUCGUGCUGACGAAACUCUUCCCCGACACUUUGCUGGAUCGGAGUCCGGGGAUCGUCAUCGAGCUGAACGUGUGCUCGAACUCGGAGGUGCCGUAGUUUCGGUGCUUGAUCGGUUGGAUCGUGAAGACGUACGACUACUUCCUCUACGUCGUGUCAUUGCUUCCGCAGUCGGUCUGCGUUGGGUACGUAGACAACACUCUCCUCUCGUUGCUAUGCAUCACAUGAUCCUGUGUGCGCGUAGGAAAUUUUUUUUGAAAUUACUUCGAAACCCAACAGUAGCAUCAUGGUGCAUGAGUGCACCGUAAAAGUUCAUACUAAAGUGCUGUUAUUCCUCCCUAAGGUCAUGCCGUCAAGAACUGUAAAUUUCUUUGGAAAAAAAGAUAGAGCUACAAUGCUAUUUUUUGAUAAAAUCGGACUGCCCUAGAUGGAAUUCUAGGAGCUUUACUACAUUGUAGUUGAUCCGGAUAUCUUGGUAGCCAAGGCCCUACGCACUCCCCCACCUUCGAUCACUUUUCGUCGCAAGCUUUCUCCCGCCGAAAGUAACCGUUGGACCAUGUUGUGUGAGAGGCUUGGUUGUGUUAGCCUCUCUAAUGACACAUACACGGUCUCAUGGCGCCUCACAACUUCUCGCCAAAUCGGCAAACUGAUGUACGCCCAAUUUAUGAAGGGUCCUUCGCUGGACGUGGCUAGGGUCCUUUGGAAAGCUAGCUUUGUUGCCUAUCAAAAUUUUCUUGUGGCCAAUGUUUAGAAUAUACUUCUGACCUCUAACAAUGUAGCCAAUCGUAACAGGCACUCUGAUGGGAAUUGCGUGAUUUGUGCUAUUCUAGAAGAUGCUGACCAGACGGCCUUCAGAUGCAAUUAGCCCGCUUCAUGCGGAGUGCCGUUAGGGAAGCCGCGGGCACGAGCUGGAACGCUUCGUCGAGUGCUGAGCUUCUUACGAUCAUCGUCUCAGCUCUGUGUGGGUCGAUUCCGGGCACGAUAUGACAUUGUGUUGGGGCAUUUCUGUGGGCUCUUUGGCAUAUCCGCAACAAAAUUACUAUCAAGGCCAUUUUCCUGGCUCACCCGGUCCUUUCAAAUGCAUUCUCUUCUUUUAGCAAUGGGCAUCAUUGGGGAAGAAUGGGGACACUGAGGACAUGCAGCGGGCACUGAACAAGCUACACCACAUCCAUAGCAUCGCCGGUACUCCGUUCAGAGCCUGCGUGCUCUUGUUGGGCGUUCCUAGUCUUGUAAUCCUCUAGAAUUAUCUUUAACUUGAUUGAACUCCCUUGGUAUGUUUUAGGUUUGUGUUGGGCUUCAUGUACUUUGCUUAUUUUGGGCUUUAUUAAUUGAAUCCGGACACUGUUUGCGUUUUCGUUCUAAAAAAAUGUUACUUGGAUGUAAAAGAAAUUUUCUCUAUUUUUGGUUAAUAAUUAUAUCUUCUGUUUUCUCUACCAGCUUAGAACAUGAAAUUUCCAAUAAGAAAUUCAAACUCAUGAGGAAUUGCAUGGUGUCACAUUGCAUGUUAUGCACACCUCUUCAAAACUAAUCACACCAGUGCUCAUCAUCGGAAAGAUCUGCGUUAAUUAAGGGCCUAUUCAAUCCAUAAUAUUAAAAAAAGUAUGAAAAUGAAAAAAAAGCAAAAUUUUAAGAUGUGCAAAUGAUUCCUACUAAAUGGUCGAAUUCACACUGAAUUAUAGAUUAUUUGAUUAUAACAUAUGAAAAAAAUAUUUUCAAUACAUACUACUCAACGAACAAAGAAAAUAUUAGGAAGAAAAUGUAUAGGACUCAAUCCUACAAAACCAGCAGACCCAUAUAGCAAAAAUCCCUAAUUAUUCUGAUCUUAAAAUUUCAUUAUGAAAUCUUUCGACUCGUAGAGGUCCUAAGUACAUACUCCUAUGUAUUAUUGUUGGAGCUGAUGCAUAUAUUUUCUGAUCUCCCUCAUGGAAGUAUUGAACUUUUCAUAUUUUUCUAAUAUUUCAAGGACCAAAGAUUUUAUGAUGGAAUACUAAGAUGAAGAAGAUUGAAGUAUUGAAAAGAAAAUAUUAAAAUAAUUAUGAAGCUAUUAAAUUAAAAUAACUUAAAAUUAUCUAUGAACACUCACGAAAAAUACGGAAAGUGAACAAAUUCGGUUACACUCUAUAUUUAACCUUAUGUGGAUUAUGAGUGCCCCUUCAUGUGUGAGCGAUUUUAUUUUCUGUAUUAGGUUUGUGAUUUUCUUCUUUGCUUUUUUUCUUUUUUGGCAGUUCUUUUUUUUUUUGCAAAAGAAGUACAGAAGACUUGCAUCAUGUUGAUUAUAUAUUUAUUGAAAAAGUGUGAUGUGUACAAGCUAUCUUACACGCCCAAAGGCCAGGAAGAUAUAAACUUCACAGGUUGAUUUCUAAUUUUCUUUUUUCCUGCUUACUAAGCUUUCCUCGUUAGCGAAAACCACCAUCCAGUUUGUUCUUAGACACCAAAUAUAGAGUUGGGCGGAUAAUUGAAGGAUAAACGUGUUUUCAGAAUUUUUGGUUACUAUCAUAACUAAUGCUCCCCAUGCCAUUCAGCUUAUGGGAAAAUAAUGAAUGCCUACCAACCUUUUCUGCUUGCAUUAAUAAUGCUUUUAGGCCAUAGCCCUUUAUAUACACCACUGCAUCUUCCUCCAGCAGAUUACAACCUUUGCAUGUCCAUUUUAUAUCUUAUAAGAUGUUGAUAGAACUUUUCUUAGUGUUGGUAGCACUAGCUUCGAAAAUCAAAUGGGUGACGGUCACAAAUACAUAUUGAGUAGAGAAUGAGAGAAGAAACAACAGAAUGUUAGAACCAGUGGGAACAGAAGACAUCGGGAGCAGCGUUGGAGACACGGGACAAAGAGUCCGAAGGCAAAUAUGUAUUUGUCGAUCUUCACGAGAGUACAAUGUUAGGUGGCUAAAACCUUGCCAUUUGAAGAAAGCUCGUUGAGGUACCCUGCUACAUGGUAAUUUGGAUUGAUCAUCAGAGUGGUAAUCUGAAAAACAGAUAAUGGAUGUUUAUCAUAUCCUAAUUUUUUUUCUUUAAUCUAGAAAAAAAUAGAUUUCAAAAUGGAGAGCUGAAACAGAUGUUUUAAACUCAUGGCUCGCAACAUGACUUGUUGAAUCUUCAUGGAUCCAAUCACUGUUUGUAUGUUUACAUAUUGGAUCUUUUUGGGUUUGUGUGUCUAAGGGUUCCUGAGUCACACUCCCCCAAGUAGGCAUUCUGCGGUUGUGGAUCUGGAAUAUUUAUCUCAUAAUUUUUUUAGGGCAAUUUAUACGUCAUAACUACAUGAUUCAUUAGGGCGAGUGGGCGUGUAGGUGAUUCAGUCGCGACGAGCGGACGAGCGAUCGGAUUGCGAUAAUGAGCCGGCGACCUAGUUGCACUAUAGGGUCUAUUUGGCGCAAAAGGCGCUAACGUGGAGCUCCCACCAGGGCAUGCAACUCACACCUAGCAGCGAACGCUCUUUGAAGUAGGAUUGCUCAUGUAAAGGUUCUCUCAACCGGGUUUGUGAAAAUUUCAGAACCUUCCUGUUGGGUUUUUUCCUCUUCUGGUUUUUUGUC